UUUAUGUUUUUUUUUUUUUUUAAUGUUCUUUUAAUGUUUCUAGUUUAACCUAGUUUAGUAGAUAAGAAAAACAAUGGCAGAUUUUUUAUUUUUGAGGAUGUUGUUCUAACCCUUUGUUACAGUACCAUACAAUACAUCCUCAACUUCUGUCAUGAAUUACAAGUACAAUCAGUUAUUGUUUACAUUCUUUUAUUAUUACUCUCUUUAGCAAGCACACGAGUCUAUGUGGUAUGGUAUAACUUUGCAAAAUAAAUUUCCACCACGCAUGGUUCAGAAGCAAUGUUUAAAUGCUCUCUGGAGAAAAGUAAAACAGGACCAGUGUUCUUCUUCACCUUUGCCAGAGAAAUGUUUUCUCAUUAAUGAGGCAUAACAGUGAAGGGAAGACAAUUCUGUUUCUGGGUCUUAACGGUCGAUGGUAAUACAAAAUAAAUGUUCAUGUCAUUGUGUCAUAUUUGGGCUAUCAUCAUGAUAAACCUUAUUAUCUUCACAUGCAAUACAUGAAUACAAUACAGUAACAAUGGGUAACUUAAGGGGGGGGAUGAAUGAUGAUUGUAUUGAAAAUCUUUGUACAGCAGGAUAAAACCACUACAACAGCUAUCUAGGAGAAAACGAACAUCAAUGUUAUUAAACAUCUUUUUCAUUAAAGUAAUACACAAUUUUUAACAUAAAUGACCACAAUCACUUCAUCUAGAACCUAAAAUCAUCAAAUUGAAAUGUCACGAGUAUUUAAGCAGGAUCUUCUAAUGCAGCGGUGGAUAGAUCAUUUAUGCGAGGAA
rnacentral:lncRNA from 1 species